rnacentral:ncRNA from 1 species
GACCAGAAGGAUGGCUGAACUAUUUCUGGGCAGGGCAAAGCCAAAGAAAACUCUGAUGGAGGUCCGUAGCAGUCCUGAUAUGCAAAUCUGUCAUCCAACCUGGGUAUGGGGUGACAGGCUAAUCGAAACAUCUAGUAGCUGG